AUCAACGCUGGCGGCGUGCCUCAGACAUGCAAGUCGAACGAUUAAAGCUCUCUUCGGAGAGUGUAUAGAGUGGCGCACGGGUGAGUAACACGUAAGUAAUCUACCUUUGAGUGGGGAAUAACAGUCGGAACGACUGCUAAUACCGCAUAAUGCAGCGGCAUCGCAAGAUGACAGUUGUUAAAGGAGCAAUCCGCUUAAAGAGGAGCUUGCGGCAGAUUAGCUAGUUGGUAAGGUAAUGGCUUACCAAGGCUACGAUCUGUAUCCGGUCUAAGAGGACGGUCGGACACACUGACACUGAAUAACGGGUCAGACUCCUACGGGAGGCAGCAGUCGGGAAUUUUGGGCAAUGGGCGAAAGACCUGACCCAGCAACGCCGCGUGAAGGAUGAAGUAUUUCGGUAUGU
rnacentral:rRNA from 1 species